CCUUUUUGAAAUCAUUAAGUAUUUCUUGCAAUCGGUUCUCAAUUCUGAUUUCCAAUGCUUCCAUUUGUGCUUUCAUUGAGUUAUCGGUGGCCAUUUUGUAAAACCGCAAAUCUGUAAUCUCAACUCCUGUUUUUGGUGUCAAGAUUAGGGCAUAAAUCACUGCCCUACUCGGUGUUGUUGUUGUGAUGCAAUCGGUGGUAGCACUAUUGGAAUGAAGGGUUGCUGCGAGGAUAUGGGGAUGUAGCUGCGUUCGCUGCAUGGGAGGCAACGAUGCUUGCUGUGGUUGUUGCGUGGAGGGAUCACUACUGCUGAGGGCUGGGAGGCAGCGAUGGUUGUGUGGCUGGGGUAGCACCGCCAAGGGCUCGCCGCUGCGAUGGCUGCGACGGCGCAGAUGGAAGGCAGCGUUGCUCUGUCUCUAUCACACUGCGGAAGGAGGCACUAGUGAGAGGCAACGAUGCUUGUUACAAUUGCUACGUGGAGGGAUCGCUGCUACUGAGGACUGAGAGGUAGCGAUGGUGGUGCGGUUGGGGGCAGCAUCGGCAAGGGCUCGCCGAUGCGGUGGCUGCGACGGAGGAAGAGUCGCUGCCCUGUGUUUCAGUUGCUGUGUGAGAUGAGAGCGUCGGGGGCUAGAAGGCGACGAUUGCAACUGUUGUGACUCACGGAAGCGAUCGCUAAAUAGUCAGGUUGAGGCUGCGAUGAUGGCAUCCGGUGGCUGCAGCAGUGGAGGCAGAGCAAGGGAGAGGCAGCGUUGAAGUGGUCGGGGUUGAGGUUGCAGUGGAGAAUAGGAAUCGACGGUGGCUCUGCGGGAACAAAGGCAAUUGGUGAUUUACCUUGUUUCUGUUACCAGAGUAAGGGAGAGGCUACGAGGAUCACGGCUGGGCGACGAGCAGCGUUGUCACUGGCUGGGCAGUAGCAGCGACAGUGACGGUAGCCGGCGUUCGCAGCAACAAGGGGACCCAUGACUGUGGUGCGGUUGGAAACAAGGGCAGCAAGGUGAGCUGCCUGUGCUCUGUUUCGGUUGCAAAGGAUGCAGAGCAAGGUGGAGCGGCGGCUAGGAGGCGAGCGGCAGUCGUCGCACGGUGGCCCGCAGCGGUGAUGGGUCGGUUAGGCGACGACAGCGCUGGAGGGGAAGAGGAGUGCUGGAGGUGGCGCGGCUGCGAUCGACGAGGGGCUGCAGCAACAGAGGAACUCUGUUUCUGCAACCGCUGCAACGAGGGGCUGCGGCAACCGGUGGUUGCGGUUGCGACCCAAGGGGGGGGGGGGCACGACUGGGAGGCGGGCGGCGGUGAUCGAGCGAUCGGGAAGCAGCGGCGGCAGUGGAGAAAAAGGCAGCGAGCGUCGUCGUUGGCCGGGAAGUUGCGAUGCUGGAGAAGGGAAACAGGGUGCUCUGUUUCUAUCGCACCACAGCCGGAGCCGCUGGCGAUGCUGGCAACGGCGGUGCGACAGUGAAGAAGGAGGCAGCAGUGGUGGCGUGGUUGGAAGUAGCGUCACCAACGAUCGCCGACGAGGGGAGGUCGAGCGGCUGCGGCUGCGACCCAAGGGGAGGCGGCAACGACAGUAGGGCUGGGAUGGACGCUGGCAGCGUCGUCUCCUGGCCGGGGAACAGCGGCGGCGGUGGUCGCCGGCCGGGAAGCGGGGCGAUGGUGGGCGCUGGCCGGAGAGCAGCAGCGGCGGGUGGGUUGGCCGGAAGCAGGGGACGCAGGGGUGGCUGCGGCUUCUUCUUCCUCUCGUGUUUUUUUUUUUUUUUUUUUUUUGAUCGAGAUGGGGCAGCGAGGAGGUCGAGCGGUGGUCGAAGGUCGCUGGCCGGGGAGAAGCAGCGACAACGGUGAAGAAAGAGUUGCCUUGUAGUGGUGGUGGGGAAGAAGGGAAGCAAGGUUGCGGCGGGUUGCGCCAAGGAUCGUGGCUCUGAUACCAAAUGAUAAGACCCUAAAAUCUUAUCGUGGAAGAAAGGGGAGAAAUGAGGAUGAUAAUGAUCGCUUCGAGGGGAUCGGCCUCCUUGAUCUCUUCGAGGGGAUCGGCCCUCCUUGAGCACUUCGAGGGGAUCGACCUCCUAGGGUUUGUCCAAAGACAGAAUAAUAUUUUUCAUAUAUUACUGAAAAGAAACAGUUACAUCCCUAUUUAUAGAGUUCCACCCAGAGUCCAUCAGGACUUGAACUCUAAUAAUAAAUAAAUAUUAGAUAAACCUCUACUUGACUCUAACUAAACCAAACCGACUCAAUAAACAAAUGGACUAAACGGACUCAAUAAACAUUAUUCAAAAGCUCAGAAAAAGGGUCCUAACAAUAAUUUCUUACACAGAGUUCAAUGAUGCAGAAGAUCCAUAUGGCUGAUCAUGAAUAGUUUGGACAUCAUGGCUUUUGUUAUUAUCGUGGUUGCUUGCCCUUGCCUCUUUUAUUGGCAAAUUAUCACUGAUCUAGGUUUUUUUUCUUCAUUAAUUAUAUGUAGCUGACGCCACAUAUAAUAUUUUUUUUACUGUAGUUGAAGUUAUUUACAUGAGCAAUCUUUCUCAUAAAUUAAGUUCUUUUAUCAGCAUAGAACCAAAUAAACUAAUAGCAUUACUUGAUUGAGGCAGUUUUCUUAUCUCUGUAUUCAUUUUUCAGAAAAUUUAUUGCCUUUCUCUGGUCUUCCAGCUAUGUUGUUUUUUUUUGUCAAGUUGCUCAUCAUCAUCAACAAUGCCUUUUUUAGCAUGUUGAACCUCACAAUUUACUGUUGUUAAUUAAUUCAACAGUGUCUUUUCUACUUACCAGUCUUGCAAGACUUAUAACUAGAUCAUCUCUCUACAUUCUUGAUGAAAAGGAUAAAUUAUUCUGGAAUUGCUCAUUUGAAAUGUUCCAGGUUUUAGUUAUAGGACAUUACUGAAUCUGAUUGUAGAGAAAACAUUAUGCAUCUUCCUGUUAUUCUGAAUUCUGUAGUACCAUUUGGAAGUCAUUGAUGUUCAACCGACAAGUAUAAACAUGAGUAUCGUCUGUAUACGAUCAACAUGGGAUAUGGGAUGCUUGGUAGUGUCUAAACCCACCAACUACAAUGGAAAAAUAAGUGGAAUAUUGUGUCUGUGCGCUGGUGUUGUCUGAUGCCAUUAUUUCAGUGGUGGAGAAUUGCUCGGAUAUGAGCAUGAUAAUAAGUAACUAAGCAUAGGUACUCUUUAUCAACUCUCAAACACCAUUUAGAGACUUAUCUCUGAAAGAAAUGGCUGAUUGGAACUAAAUGCAUGUGCAUUAACAUGAUUGGUAAAGGAAUGUUGUCUGAGACAGAUGAUUAGUCGAAAGUUUUCAACAUCCUUGAUUUGAGGUAGAAGAGGAAUUUGGACUUGGAGAGGGCAUAAACAAGACUACUUUUCUUGUAUUUUUCUGCAAACAGUGCGGGAUACUGCCUCAAAAGACUAAUGUUUUCGGUCCAGCAGAGGCUCUUUUACCUUCUCUCUUGUAACAAGUCCAGCAUCCAUCUUUCCUCCUAUCAACUCUGCAGUCUGUUUAGCUUUUCCACUGCCAAAGAGCACAGUUCAAAUCAUAGAUCCAACUUUACAUUGGUCGACCCCCUUGAGUCAUGUGAACUUUCCUCAAAAGAGGCUGCAAAAACGGCUGAUGAUCGCAUCUGUGAAAAAAAACUUUCAAGUUCAAGUCCUUCCAUUGAGUUCUUUAAGCAGAGUGGUUGGAGUGAUGCACAAGUCAUGAAGCUUAUGCAGAGGGAACCCGGGUUUCUACGUGCUAACGUAGAGACUAUCCUGAAGCCUAGGAUGAGAUCUUUGCAGGACAUGGGAUUUUCUGACACUGAAAUAGUUCAGCUGGUUUCAUCAUGUCCAAGGGUGCUCCUUCUACGUGACAUCCAACUGAGGAUCAACUUCUGGAGGUCACUUCUUGGUUCUAAUGAGUGGUUAAUUAAAGCCUUCAGGAGGAGCAUGUUUCUCCUUACUUCUAGCUUGGCUCGAAAGAUUGAGCCCAAUAUAUCUCUCUUGAGGGAAUGUGGCAUUAGUGAACAACGCAUUGCGCAGAUGGUGGUGAAACUACCAAGAUUUUUAUGUCGAACAGAAAAAUGUAUCAAGGAAUUUAUCGAACACGUUGAGGAGUUGGGUGUGUCACGUGACUGUAAAAUCUUCCCUCGUGCACUAUUAUCAGUCAUGACCCUGAGCAGGUCCAGGUUUGAUGCUACCUUUGCAACCCUGAUGAGCUUUGGGUGGUCCCAACCAGACUGCAUUGCUGCAUUCAGGAGGCAUCCAGUCAUUUGGAAUCUCUCAAAGAAGAACUUAUGUGAUAAGAUGACAUUCCUGAUGAAGGAAGCUGGUUGUGAGCUGACAUAUAUCAUUUAUCAUCCUGUGCUUCUUACAUAUAGCUUGGAGAAGAGGUUGAGACCUCGAUAUGAAGUUAUGAAUUUUCUUGAUCAGAAUAAAUUGCUGGAUAAAGGAUAUAACCUGCAAUCUGUCGUGAAGCUAUCUGAAGAGAAGUUCAGAAACAAAUUCCUUUUCCUGCUACGCAAGGAGAAUUUUAUUGCUCAAUAUGAUUCCUAUGUCGUUGCUGUGCAUGGAAAGCACGACGUUGUUGUGGAAAACUAGGAUUGCAAGUGCUUUCUUAAGACAAAGUGUCAACCUAUUGCAUGCUGACUGCAAGUUAAUCACUUUUUAUUUGUGACCAUUUAAAUUCUGCAGGAGUUUGUUUGAGUAUAACUUCCACGUUGAUUUGGUGAUUGUUCUUCUAUUUAUUUUUUCUACAACAAAAGGUACUGUUUCUUUUA